rnacentral:misc_RNA from 1 species
CCCAAUACACAGGACAUAAUCAAUUGGUGAUGUCAUGGAUUUACUGUGAACAAUCUCUCCCAGUAUUCUAUCAAUAGCAGCACCCUUUGUAACACCAACUGCUCUAACCUCAACUGAUCGGCUACCUUGGACGACAUCAACAGAUGCAUUAGAAAUUGGGCCUGUCCAGAGAUGCUGCAACAUAUCCCUAGCUUGAAGUCUUCCAAAUUCAACAUCUGCAUACUUGUAAUUCCACACAAGUGAUGUUUCACGAAGUUCAAAAUGUGAUCUGGGUGUCCGUUCUGUGAAGUACUCAAAAACAUGCUUCACACUGUCAACCCAUUCCAUGUUUGAGUGUUCUGGCAUUGUUGUCAUCCAUUCUCCCUUGGUAAGGCGUAAAAACAUUCCAUGUUCUGCUGCCAACCACAUGUCAAACUCACCGAAGUUCUCAUCUAAGACAUUUCUGUCACUCCCACUUAGAACAACAAUGGUUGUCUUUGGAUCACUGCAUAGUGCUACCAAUAUUUCUUUCAACUCUGGGUGCAACUUAAGUUCCAUUUCUUUAAUUUGAUCAACUCUUCUCCGUGCAGUGUCUACUGGUUCAGUCAAUGUUGCAUUGAAUCCCAGUAAGAGCAACCGAUUAUUAGACUGCAGAUAACGUUUAAUUGCAUCUUCUUCUGGAAGAAUAGGUGGAACUUGCCUUGUCCUUAGCUGAGCCUCAAUUACUGUAUCAUUUAGUUCACUCACAAAAGUUUC